CCGUGGAGACAGAAGACGUGGAGGAAAUGCGUGACUUGCUCUCGGCUGCAUUGGGCACUUGCAGGGUGAUUUCCUCUGGGCACUGGUGGGUAUCUGCUCCUGGAAGAGAGAGCGGCUAUGCUUUCCUGGCUGCUCCCCAUGCGGCUGCUGUGGCUGUUGCCUACCUCACACCCCCGGCUUGGCUCUGGGCAGUGCCGCACAUUCCUUCCCCGUUUUUGGCAGUGGAGCCUUUUCCAUCUUGCGUGAAACAUGGCUUGGAGCCAUGCUGUGUGAGGCCAUUGGCUGUAGCAGGCAAGGAGACAUUUGGCUUGGCCUCGGUGAAUCACUACAGCGUGUGUGGAUGGGGAGGAAGCUGCUGGCGCUCCAGGCUUUCCCUGCAGGACCCAAGGCCAGCUCUCUGGGGUCUGGCUGGGAGGUGGAGAGGUCCUGCAGCCUUCCCGCUCAGCACAGUGAGCUCUGCAGCGCAGUGGGGACCUGGGAAGUCGUGACAAGACACUGGCCACUCCAGAGGAGCUUCAGGACAAGAGGAUUUGCCCCACGGACUCUGGAAAGUGCCUGGGCUCUCCUGUCUUCUGCAGCAUAAGGUAUUUACAGGGGUCUGCACCUCUGGGAUGUGGAGGUGGAUACUGACAUGGACCAGCCCAGGGUGAAGUCCCUCCAACCUCACCGACCCCAGCACCACGUGUCUGUCUUUGUAUGGGUGCAUGUAGAUCUGCACACAGGGUGGCCAGGGCUGAGGAACAAGCCAAUGUGGGCACUGGGGGCAGGAAGGCCUCCCAGUGUGGCCCGCAAAAGGCUUGGGACUGCACAUACCUGGCAGGGGCCCAGCAACACUGCUUUCCUCUGUCCCACAGCCCAGAAACACGUCCACGGUGUCCUGGUCUGACAGGUCCAUCAUGUCCAUCUGCUCCAGCAUGUCCACGUUCACCUCCAUGGAGGAAAUGCUGCCUAAGGGGGCUGCAGAGACAGAGGUCAGCGAAAAGUCCUUGUCCCUGCCCCAAACUGCUGUCUGGAGGAGCCUGCCUGAAGCCAGUGACUAUGCAGGGCGCCAUCCUGGGUACCCAUGUGCAGUGACUUCAGUUAAAUGAUGUGAGACAUAGGGAAGAAGAAAUCCACGUCAUGCUGGAAAACCUCCUCAAAGAACUUCUGCCGGUCCCGUAGUUUCAGCUGCUGCUGCUGCAUCUGCUCUGCGUCCAGGCUCCUCUGUGCCUGCUCCAUGUCACCUGGGGAGAAAGUCCAGCGCCAGUGCCUGUGUCCUUGGCUCACACGGGAGGGAGCGAUGGGAGCCCUCAGGCUGUUGUUGAAGGAGCUUGUUGCUGCAUCCCUGGGCCUGGUACCUCCCUUUCAGGCUGGGUACCCACAACAGCAAGGACCCAAAUGGCACAGAGAGGCUGUGGCCUCAGCUGUUCCCAGGCUGGUGUUUGACCUCAGCCAUUCCAGAUUUCAUCUCUUGCUGCUCUUGGCCCAGCCAGCACGAGGAAAAUGUGAUUACUGGAGCAGGCAGUGCAGUAACCAGGGAAACCAAACAAACAUCCUCUGCCUGCCCAAACCCCUCCGCUCCUCCAGGCUGGGGAGGAGGGAACAGAGGGAGCAGCAUCCCCACCCUGUCUGGCAGGAGCGGGGGCGAUGACAGCGGGGGGGGGGCUGGCUGUCAGCAAUAGGUAGCAGCAUAGGACCCAAAUGGGAGAGAGGCCACGGGCCUGAUGAGAUGUCCUGGAGAUCAGUGUCACAUCUUCCUGAGAGCUCUUCCAGGACUCCUCCGCGCCCCGCUUCUGGGGCAUCCUUCAGCUAAACCCCAUCGUCUGCAGGCGCCUGCCCCAGGAGGCUGGGUGGUGCCUGCAGCACAGCGCAGGGAUGCACCGUGACUCAGGGCCAGUCACCAUGCACUUUCUGGAAGAGGCUCUGGACCUCUUCUGGCUGCUCAGCGUCUUCCUGCGAUGCCUGGGGUGGCAAUCCUGGCUGCCUGAAGGGGCCUUUGCCUUGGUAUGUCUGACCUAAGUACUGGGUGCCUACUCUGGUGCAGAGGCUCAGUGUGCUGUGCAGUGCCCAGGCUAACAGCUGCAGUGGUGGAUGCACUGUGCCAGUGAAGCUUUCCUCGCAAGGCUGACCAGUGGCUGCAGCCCAGCGCUGCUGGGGUAAGGCAAAAACCUCCUGCCUCCCCUGUGCUAUCUGCAAAAGAGAAUGGAGCCAGGGACAAGGAGGGGGUGAGCAGGGCACUGAUUAUGGAGCCGGCUCUCUUCAGCAGCUGGCGCCAGCCCUGUCCUGUCUGUCCCAGGCAGAGCUCUGCCACCCAGCCCAGCUGUGCCAAAUCCAUGGCAAACUGCCGCAGUUCACCACACCGAGGAAAGCCCAUCGGACUCCAGCUGCAGGGAGGCCGGGCUCAGGGCAGAGGCUGCGCUGGCUCCCAGAUUCAGGGGUGACAGAGCGGCUCUCCGUGCGGCAUCUUGCCAAAGGGACCCCAUUGUGGAGGUAAGGAGGAGAGUUUGCAGUGCAAAUACAAAAUAAACCAAAAUGCUAGCAGGCGCUGCCCUGA